rnacentral:rRNA from 1 species
CCUACGGGCGGCAGCAGUGAGGAAUAUUGGUCAAUGGACGAGAGUCUGAACCAGCCAAGUCGCGUGAAGGAUGACUGCCCUAUGGGUUGUAAACUUCUUUUAUAUGGGAAUAAAAUGUUCCACGUGUGGGAUUUUGUAUGUACCAUAUGAAUAAGGAUCGGCUCACUCCGUGCCAGCCGCCGCGGUAAUACGGAGGAUCCGAGCGUUAUCCGGAUUUAUUGGGUUUAAAGGGAGCGUAGGUGGGUUGUUAAGUCAGUUGUGAAAGUUUGCGGCUAAACCGUAAAAUUGCAGUUGAAACUGGCAGUCUUGAGUACAGUAGAGGGAGGCGGAAUUCGUGGUGUAGCGGUGAAAUGCUUAGAUAUCACGAAGAACUCCGAUUGCGAAGGCAGCUCACUGGACUGCAACUGACACUUAGGCUCGAAAGCGUGGGUAUCAAACAGGAUUAGAUACCCCUGUAGUC